rnacentral:tRNA from 1 species
GGCCGAGAUAGCUCAGUCGGUAGAGCACUUGACUGAAAAUCAAGGUGUCGGAAAGGGACCCCAGUCGCCGUAAUUGAGGCACACGCAGCUACGAAUCAAGUGGUCUUAUUGUCUCCGUGGUUUUCCUUUCCACUCAGUAGCCCUGACAAACUCCUUGCCCUCUUGUUCGGCCA